ensembl:lncRNA
CUGGGUGAGAGCAGAGGGCUCUGCCAGGAUAAUGAGUGCUACCCUUGGGGCCUGCCCUGGGCAAAUAAGUAAGAAAGUUUGUCUUCAACAGCUGCACCCCCACCUCACCGCCUCGGUCUGCAACCUCUUCCUCAGUCCCAUAGUUUCUUUUCUCCACUUUUUCCCCAAAGGCUUAAGGCCCAGACAAAGACACUCAGUGCUCCAGUUCUGCGACAGGGACCCUCCAGCUGCAGUGCAUGGGGAGCUGCGUGAGUCAGCCUGGCAUGGACUGUCUUAUGUCGUAAUUACAGAAAAGGAAACAAGAUUGCUUCAGAUUUAUAAAAACUGGAAGGUUCUAUUGCUGCACGUGAACAGAUUCUGUUCCAGGAUCCCGUGCCUCCAGUAACCCAUGCUUUCAUUUUAACAUGGAACAAAAGCGAACUUUAUAAGCUUGCCUGUCUAAAGGGAAUAUGCCCCUGCUCUUUAGCCUUUUGCUUCAGGGAGUUAGAGGAAUGAGUGCGAAGUGAGGGUGUGAAAAAGAGGCUAGACACAGCAGUGCUGCCUGCUGAAUUAUUUUCCAUCUGGAGGGAAGGCUGUCGCUUUCGGUAUAUUCCUCAAAGGAAGAAAGAAUGGUAGUGAACUCAAUCAAGUUUCGAUAUUACCUUGUAGUAGAUUUAAUAAGAAGGAAAAUGACUUGAGUCACAGUGCUGAGGGCUUGGGCAAGGCCCAGUGUAUUGGGAUGAUCUGAUGCACUCUUUCCUGGAUUUAUCUGAAUCUUUGCAGAAAGCAGAGAAGGGGUUGGAGCACCAUGUUGGUCCUGACAGUAGUAGAAAGAGGGAGGUGUAUGAAAAAUGCGGCACGCAUGCGUAUGGUGGAGACGGGCAUAGCCACACGUAUUGGAGACAGUUUAGCAGACUAGUUAGGAGUAUAGGUGCUGACAAUAAACUGCUUGGGCUCAAGAGUUUUCUCUUGCUAGCUGUAGGCCUUGGGCAAAUUACUCAGCCUCUUGAAGUUUCUGUUAACCUCUCUGAGUUUACUGUUCCUCAUCUGUAAGGUUGGGAUAAUAGUGGUACAAAUCUCAUAAGGGUUUUUGAGUAUUAACUUGAGAUGAUUCAUGUAAAGCACUCAGCCUAUAAUAAGGGAAUCAUUAUGAUGAGUAAAUAUAUCCACUGCAGAUGACAUUGCUAUUAGAUGGAGGUAAGGACCUCAACGUGAUGAAUGGAUUUGGUGAGCAGAGCAGUGGAGGAUCUGAAACUGGCGAAUCCCAGGCCACUGAAGCGGAGCACGCGAACUUAACUGCUAUGCCACUAGGCCAGCCCCCUCAAGGAUACUUAUUUUAUACUUCAAGUGGUAAUCUAAUAUUAUUUUAUUCAUUUUGUUGCUCAAAUUCUUCCAGUUUUGGCCACUAGGAGUUCUUUCAGUUGGCUCAUAUGUUCCUUUGACACCCCCCCAUAUUUUUCUGUUUUUUAGCCAUCUUUUAUUUUCUGGCAUUCCAAGGGAUUCCCAGCUCAUCUUGUAUAUUUCCUGCCUCUGUCCUAGAAUCAACCAUUUCUCUAAGGGGCCUGGUUUCUCUUACUGGAGAGUGCAAUUAGAAACCAAGAUGUGAGUACUAUGUGUGCUCAUCGCUAUUGGGAUGUUAUUGCUUUUAGGCCCUCUCAGCUGCAGAGCAAGGAAAUAUGUGCAUGUAUACUAACCUUCAUAUAUAUAAAUAUCCAUAAAUUUUUCUUCCUAUGUGUAUCCGUCUGUAUCUAUAUCAAGGUAAACAUGAGUUCAUAUCAAUGUCUCCAACUCUCAUCCAUUACUAAUGGAUCAUUUCCUUGCUUAUCUGUAAUCACCUGCUCAAACAGUGAGAAACCUAGCUUCCAUCUUUGGCCAUGCAUUCACUUAAUUUGUUCAAUUCCAGUAUACAUGUAUAGUGGUUUCAAAAUGUUAACCUGUACCCCACGGGGGCACAACAUUAUCAAUUAGAGUACAGUGCUUAUGAAUGGUUCUUUUUGCCUUUAAUCUUACAGAGUCUACUCAUUUACAAAGUUAUUUAGAUCACUACCUUUCCCCCACAUUCAGUGAAGUUGUCUCAUUCAUUUGUAACACAGUGUGGUUGGUGGAUCAUAUGUUAAAACUAUGUUUAGCUUUGUAAGAAAUUGCCAAACUGUCUUCCAAAGUGUCUGUACCAUUUUACGUUCCUACCAGCAAUGAAUGAGACUUCCUGUUGUUUUGCAACCUCACCAGCAAUUGAUGUUGUCAUUUUUUUGAAUUUUAGAUAUUCUAAUAGGUAUG